rnacentral:snRNA from 1 species
UGUUUUGCGCAGUGGCAGUAUCGUAGCCAAUGAGGUUUCUCUAAGGUGCGAUUAUUGCUAAUUGAAAACUUUUCCCAAUAUNCCGCCAUGACAACUUGAAAUAUAGUCAGCAUUGGCAAUUUAAAAAAAAAAAAACUUG